AAGUCGUAACAAGGUUUCCGUAGGUGAACCUGCGGAAGGAUCAUUAAAGAGAACUGGACGUAUGAGCCAGCGCGCGGCUUCGGCCCCGCCCCUCUUCACCCUUUGUCUACCCUACCUUUGUUGCUUUGGCAGAUCCUGAGGGACACCUCACGCCGACCUUUCAGCCGGCGAGUGUCUGCCAGAGGCCCUCAAAACUCCGAUUUUUCCAUGUUGUCUGAGCAAAAACACAAAUCAAACAAAACUUUCAACAACGGAUCUCUUGGUUCUG
rnacentral:misc_RNA from 1 species